rnacentral:rRNA from 1 species
UGAUCCAGCAAUGCCGCGUGUGUGAAGAAGGCCUKAGGGUUGUAAAGCYCUUUCAGUGGGGAGGAGGGUUGAGWGGUUAAUAGCUUWUUUARURGACGUUACCCACAGAAGAAGCACCGGCUAACUCCGUGCCAGCAGCCGCGGUAAUACGGAGGGUGCGAGCGUUAWUCGGAAUUACUGGGCGUAAAGSGYGCGCAGGUGGUUUGWUAAGUUAUMUGURAAAKCCCUGGGCUCAACCUGGGAAGGCCAUAUAAAACUGUYAGACUUGAGUAUGGGAGAGGGUAGUGGAAUUUCCCGGUGUAAGCGGUGAAAUGCGUAGAGAUCGGAAGGAACACCAGUGGCGAAGGCGGC